GCCUCUGUAGCACAAUUGGUAGUGCACCUGCUUGGACGCAAAUGGGAGGUUGUGGGUUCGAAUCUCACUGGAGGUC
rnacentral:tRNA from 1 species